GUUGAGGCAAAACCGUAUUUUUUAACUGAGGGCAAAAACGUAAUUUUAAAGUGGAUAUAAAAUAAUAAUCUGGUUGGUCCAAUGGGUAUUGCUCGCCGCCCAUUUGAACCAAUGGCAGAGAAACACUAAUCCAGGGCAAAAACGUAAUUUUAAAGUGUGUAUAAAAUAAUAAACUGGUUGGUCCAAUGGGAUAGGGCCGGCCCGCCCAUUUAAACCAAUGGCAGGGUGGGUGAUACUAUUCCCUGCCAUGUGGUUUGUAUAUGUUGAAAAUUCUUUGAUGAAUUAGAAAAACAAGUGACUGUGAAUAUUAAAUUGGAAUAAUGAAUUUUAAUAAUCUCAACUAUUGUCCAUUGGUUGGCAACGGUCUCAACUUCAAAAAUUUCCACUGGGUCCAUUGAAAGCCAGUAUGUGAAAAGAUGAGACCGCCAGUGGAAAUUUUUAAAGUUGGGACUGUUGUAGGCCAAGAACAAUAGUUGGGAUUAUUAAAAUCCGUUAUUCCUAUUAAAUUAACCAAUAGGCGACUAGCCCAUUUUCGCACCUCUACGACACACCUCCCUAUUUUCGGACCACCACUGUAUCCACACCUUCUCAAAGUAAUACUAUUUUGGGAAAAAUAAAUAGGUGCGCAUGUGUAAAACUUACAAUACGCCCAAUAAAUAACCACUGAUAUGCAGUCGAGCUGAUGGACUGUAGUUAAAAACGUUGACGGAAUCAUAAACGCGUCGCACAACUUGAGCUUCCAUCAGCGAAAGCAUAAAUACGGAUAGCCAAACAUCGUACACCGGCAAAGAUUUGUUAAGGUGAUCCUGCUGAUCGAUCAUCAUUGCAUAAGACCAUACCGCAACUAGCAGCAUAGUCGUCCACAAAGUGCCCACCACAUAAAAGUGAGAGAAGAAACUAUGAGGCACGGUUAGAUUCUGAAAUGCAAACAUGCAAUCAGUUUGCUUGAAUAUUCAACAACACAAAAAAGGAGAAAUGCUCAUCAUGGUAAUUAUUAUAUUCAGGGACGACCACAUGAGGGCGUUUCGGGUGGUCGACUACACAGUGUCCAAAAUCUUUUUAUUCUCUCGCUAACUUGCUUAACAAAUAUCACCAUCAUCAUUAUCAUACUCAGUAAAUCUCGCCACUGGAUCUGAGGAGGGUAAGCAUUAAGAUGUAGACAACCUACCUCUACCACGUAUGAGUAGAGAGACUGCUUUCUGUGAGACCAUCGACUCCAUAAAUAUAAAAGUAUUAAAAAGACAUUGGCCCAAUAACCAUUUAAAACACUUAAAAACUUAACUCAAUUAACAAACUCAUUAGUCGACUCACUUGAUCAGAUGAUCACCCACUGGUGGGUCUGAGACAAACGGCCUUUGCAAAGCCGUUAGCCUCCACUCACCUGAUUGCUCAAAUCCAAAUUUCUGAAAUCCGAAUUCAUUAGAUCGUCUAAUCGUCCUCAUUGUAUAAAUCCGAAUCUACGUGUUUUAAAAACUUUUUUAUUUGCUUACUUUAGUUUUUAGGUGAUUUGAUAACUUCGCUAGAUUAAUUAUUAGAUUAAUGAAUGAUUAGUGAUUAGAUUGAUUGAUUUAUUAUUGGAUUAUUCAUUUAUUUUGCUUGAUUUAGCAUACUAUAGAAUCCAUUAGUGAUUAGAUUGAUUAUUUUAUUAUUUUAUUAUUCAUUUAUUUGCUUAAUCAACGUUUGAUUUAGCAUACUUUAGAUUGUUAACGUUAAAUUGAAACCUAUAUGAUUUUAAGAAAUUACGACUCAGAACCAACUAUCAUCUAGCUUGUAGUCAAAAACAUAAAAAGAAAAAAAUUGAAGAAUUAAGACAAUCUAAGAACCUAAUGACUUUUAUUUGUAUAUAUUAGUUUCUACUUUUAGGAUCCAUUUUUUACUAGUCACGCAGGACAGGACCUUCUACAAUUUUCAACCGGCCCUGAUUACAUGGGUCGUUAUGAACAUAUAUAAAAAGUAUUGCACUCACACUGUCGGACUUUGAAAUCUUGCCUCUCUUAGUGAGCUCCAAUAUAGCUCUACGUAACCAACGAAAGCCAGGUAACGGCAACCAUACUGCAACAAUCAGCAAAGUAGCAAGGAGCCAUGCCGCUCGUAGCAAUGUUACAAGCC
rnacentral:lncRNA from 1 species